rnacentral:rRNA from 1 species
UACGUAGGGUGCGAGCGUUAAUCGGAAUUACUGGGCGUAAAGCGUGCGCAGGCGGUUUUGUAAGCCAGAUGUGAAAUCCCCGGGCUUAACCUGGGAAUGGCAUUUGGGACUGCAAGGCUUGAGUGCGGCAGAGGAGACUGGAAUUCCUGGUGUAGCAGUGAAAUGCGCAGAUAUCGGGAAGAACACCCGUGGCGAAGGCGGCACUCUGGGACGGUACUGACGCUGAGACGCGAAAGCGUGGGGAGCGAACAGG